UUGGUUUGUUACGGGUGGUUGGAUGUCUUCUAGCGAAGCAACUUCCACGCGUACUAACCUCUUCAUUUAUGCAGCAAGACUCGUUUUGUCUUGCUCGCAUUGUGGGUUUCCUGUGUUGCGUACCUAAUAGAAGGCAUUGUAUGGACCGAUCGAAGAUGUUUUCGUCAUGCAUCACACCGGUGGUGUGUGACGGACUAGGAAGUGGUCUUUGUAAGCCAUCCCACGUUGUUAUAACUUCGUCGAUGUGGCUUGCUGAGUUCCUACUUGGUCUCUUGGAUACUGAACCUGAUGUGGGCAUGGGAUCCUAAACAAUCCUUUUUUGCCCUCGUUUAGCGUUCUCGCUUCUCUAAAACGAUCACUCGUCGUGCAUUGGCAUGUCCAUGCAUGGUGGGUUGCAUCGAAGAGGAAUGCUACCUGGUUGAUCCUGCCAGUAGUCAUAUGCUUGUCUCAA
rnacentral:misc_RNA from 1 species